rnacentral:rRNA from 1 species
UACAGAGACUGCAAGCGUUAUUCGGAUUCACUGGGCGUAAAGGGUGCGCAGGCGGCCGAGUGUGUCAGAUGUGAAAUCCCGAGGCUCAACCUCGGAACUGCGUCUGAAACUACUCGGCUAGAGUAUUGGAGAGGGUAACGGAAUUCACGGUGUAGCAGUGAAAUGCGUAGAUAUGCGGAGGAACACCGAUGGCGAAGGCAAUCCCCUGGGCCUGCACUGACGCUCAUGCACGAAAGCGUGGGGAGCAAACAGG